rnacentral:rRNA from 1 species
AGUCACUGACAUUAGAUACCCGCGUAGUCCUAGCCGUAAACGAUACUCGCUAGGUGUCGGCCACGGUGCGACCGUUGUCGGUGCCGUAGGGAAGCCGUGAAGCGAGCCACCUGGGAAGUACGGCCGCAAGGCUGAAACUUAAAGGAAUUGGCGGGGGAGCACCACAACGGGUGGAGCUUGCGGUUUAAUUGGAUUCAACGCCGGAAAUCUUACCGGGACCGACAGCAACAUGAAGGCCAAGCUGAAGACUUUGCCGGAUUAGCUG